rnacentral:rRNA from 1 species
UACGUAGGGUGCGAGCGUUGUCCGGAAUUAUUGGGCGUAAAGAGCUCGUAGGCGGUCUGUCGCGUCGAUCGUGAAAACUUGGGGCUUAACCCUGAGCUUGCGGUCGAUACGGGCAUGACUGGAGUUCGGCAGGGGAGACUGGAAUUCCUGGUGUAGCGGUGAAAUGCGCAGAUAUCCGGAGGAACACCAGUGGCGAAAGCGGCCACCUGGACUGUACCUGACGCUAACACGCGAAAGCUAGGGGAGCGAACGGG